AACGAACGCUGGCGGCGUGCCUAACACAUGCAAGUCGAACGAGAAAGGGGCUUCGGCUCCGAGUAAAGUGGCGCACGGGUGAGUAACACGUGGGUAACCUGCCUCUAAGAUUGGGAUAACUCGUCGAAAGAUGUGCUAAUACCGGAUAAGACCACAGUUCCCGCGGGAACAGGGGUCAAAGGUAGCCUCUGCUUGCAAGCUAUCACUUAGAGAUGGGCCUGCGCACCGUUAGCUAGUUGGUAGGGUAACGGCCUACCAAGGCAAAGAUGGUUAGCUGGUCUGAGAGGAUGAUCAGCCACACUGGAACUGAGACACGGUCCAGACUCCGACGGGAGGCAGCAGUGGGGAAUAUUGCGCAAUGGGCGCAAGCCUGAUCCAGCAAUGCCGCGUGAGUGAAGAAGGCCUUCGGGUUGUAAAGCUCUUUUGUCAGGGAAGAAACGGCUGAGGAUAAUACCUUCGGCUAAUGACGGUACCUGAAGAAUAAGCACCGGCUAACUACGUGCCAGCCGCCGCGGUAACAC
rnacentral:rRNA from 1 species